AGCAGCCGCGGUAAUUCCAGCUCCAAUAGCGUAUAUUAAAGUUGUUGCAGUUAAAAAGCUCGUAGUUGAAUUUCGGGGUCAGUAGAUUGGUCAUGCCACUGGUAUGUACUGGUCUCACUGAUUCCUCCUUCCUGAUGAGCCGUAAUGCCAUUAAUUUGGUGUUGCGAGGAAUCUGGACUGUUACUUUGAAAAAUUAGAGUGUUUAAAGCAGGCUAACGCUUGAAUACAUUAGCAUGGAAUAAUGAAAUAGGACGUUCGAUCUUAUUUUGUUGGUUUCUAAGAUUGACGUAAUGAUUAAUAGGGAUAGUUGGGGGCAUUAGUAUUCAAUUGUCAGAGGUGAAAUUCUUGGAUUUAUUGAAGACUAACUACUGCGAAAGCAUUUGCCAAGGAUGUUUUCAUUAAUCAAGAACGAAAGUUAGGGGAUCGAAGACGAUCAGAUACCGUCGUAGUCUUAACCAUAAACUAUGCCGACUAGGGAUCGGAUGAUGUUAAUUUUUUAAUGA
rnacentral:rRNA from 1 species